CAACAAGUGUGCACUACUGCCUCGCCUUCAGUUGUGUGUGUAGUGCAGUGGAUCAGACGGAGAGAGAAAAGGAAGAGGGUGAGACAGAUGCAGAGAUGAGAGAAGGGGAAAGAGCCUGGCAGACAGAACUGUUAUCCACUUAAACAGAAACGGAGGAUGACUUAAUCAUACAGCAGGAUAUUUAUUCAGAAGACCAACUGUUGGCUGAGUCUGCGAGACACCGGUAGGAAUUUACUGGAAUCAUAAUCUUUUCAUAGUGUGACAUCGACAUUGCCAGAAAAUGCUGCAAGGCUCAUCUGUUUGGCGGAGUGGUGGUGUGUCACCCUAAAGAAGCUAAAAAGAAAAAUAGAGCUUUGAGGAGUAAACAUUCAUCUCUGCAGUGAGAGGCACAGACAGAGACAUUCCUGCUGUUGACUUUUCUAAAUAUUAGGCAAAACCAAAUGUGCAUCAUGCCUAG